ACCAAUUCAAAUAUUUCAUCGAAUCGUUGAUAAAUGGAUUCAAUUUGUCCUGUCCCUAAACCAAAUUCGUAUUUUAUUGAAAAA
rnacentral:tRNA from 1 species